rnacentral:rRNA from 1 species
UCCCAGACUCCUACGGGAGGCAGCAGUGAGGAAUAUUGGUCAAUGGACGAGAGUCUGAACCAGCCAAGUAGCGUGAAGGAUGACUGCCCUAUGGGUUGUAAACUUCUUUUAUAAAGGAAUAAAACGAGGCACGUGUGCCUUUUUGCAUGUACUUUAUGAAUAAGGAUCGGCUAACUCCGUGCCAGCAGCCGCGGUAAUACGGAGGAUCCGAGCGUUAUCCGGAUUUAUUGGGUUUAAAGGGAGUGUAGAUGGGUUGUUAAGUCAGUUGUGAAAGUUUGCGGCUCAACCGUAAAAUUGCAAUUGAUACUGGCAGUCUUGAGUACAGUUGAGGUAAGCGGAAUUCGUGGUGUAGCGGUGAAAUGCAUAGAUAUCACGCAGAACCCCGAUUGCGAAGGCAGCAUGCCGGCUUCCGACUGACGCUGAAGCACGAAAGCGUGGGGAUCGAACAGGAUUAGAUACCCCAGUAUC